AGAGUGAAUACACUAAGGAAUUUAAGAGCUUACAAACUGAUUUUUAUGGAAGUCAUCAAGAGUGGAGAAGGCUGAUUUAAAAAUCAACCAUGAUUUUAAACAGGGGCUGAAAACUGUGGCUUACGAGGCAAGAUUGCAAGUUUGUGAAAAGUUUGAGCCAAAGAAAGUAUUCUUUAUGAAGACAAGUAAUUCGAUUUAAAAGGAAAAUUUAAAUGAGGCAUUAGGAACUGAACUGUGAAUUCAAUUAGGCUGUAUAUUGGACUUUCAAAAGAAGCAGUGAAAAACUCUAUAGCUUUUAUUGAGGCAAAGAAAGGACAUGUGUUAAGGCUUUAAGAUACAAGAUACUUCAAUGAAUAAAACAAAGACCUUUGCUUUCCUGAAACUUGAGAUCAAAUGGAGGACACACAAAAACAACGCACCUACAAAUCACCAUAUUGUGUGUCAGGAGCUGAGGAUGCUAUGAAAACCCCUUGAGGAAACAAAGGCACCUUGGGGGCCAUUGAGAACUCCUGACGAAGAGGGCUCAGCUGCCAGACCUGCUCAAGAAAGACCUCAGAAAUCUCUAUGGGGCUGUCAGAAGAAAAGGUUUGAAAAGGGUCUGGAGAGACUGAAAUUUGUCUGCCUUGGACUUUUCUUUUGACAAUUCACAUCCAACUUAAGCAGAAUCAUUGUUUAUUCUUAUUAUGCCAGGUUUCCUUUUCUGGUCUGCAGGUUCUCUAGGGUUUCAUAGGCUAGUAGUUGGAAUUUUCAUAUUUCCAAAGCAUUGGGGAUUUUGCAAAAACAAAAUCUAAAGGAUAUUCAGCAGCACAGUUUACUUAGGAGGUUUUAAUCAUAAUAAUCUGCAUAAUGUAUGAGAAUUUCUACCUCAGCUGCCUCCUUUCUUUCUCUUUCGUGUCUGGGAAAAAGCCAGGGAUUUUUCCCUUCCUCUGAUUUAAAUACCUUAUAAAAUUUUGGUGGAAGCAUUUUGUCCUAUUCUGUCUUCCUGAUUCAUUUUCUGCUGUAAUGAGCAAAAUUAAUUUGCAAGAGCUGCUACUGACAUAGUGUAAUAAACUGGGUCAUAGGUAGAAUCAGUGCCGCCUUAUGACCCUUAGCUGUCAUUGCUUUAAGGAAUUUGGCAUGGUCCUCGAAGGCCAGAAGGCAAUGUGGGUUGCAUCCUACAGCUUUUGAGAUCUCAGAGACUUACUGCACCCAUGGCUGGGAAUGAACUGUAAAUGCUGACACUGGUAACUAGGUGCCAAACUGAAGUGAUCACAACCUAAUCUGAGCCAAAAGGCAUUUCUUUGCAUCAGGCAUAAAGCAACAUCAAACUCCCAUAACCCACACACAACACAGAAAUCAUUACUGAAGAGAUUCAACAUCAUCAUGCCAGACACUAAGUGAGUUAUUUCUCUCCUUCCCUGUCUCACCACAGUUUCCUCCCACUUGGUCACACAUGGUAAGCAUUCAUGUGUGCGAAGGCAUUUUAUGCCUUCGACCUAACCCCGACCACAGUCCCCUAGUCUUAUCAGAGAUCUGCACUCCCCACCAUUUGAGCACGAUGGAGUGCAUAUUUCCAGUGCAAAAAGACUGAUAUCAUUAUGAUUUUCAUUAACUAGUUGCCAGCUUGCAUUCUUUUUUCUCCCUUUUUUUCUCUCUCAACAGCACUUCUGUCCUCAGCCCAACCCCAGCCAGAAAAGGUGUUGCUACAUUCAGUGAAAAAUUAUUAUUAGUAUAGACAUGAAAUUUGAUGAUAAUGUAGAUUGUUUUGUGUCAUCUGCAGGCUGUCACAAUACACUCUGCAUCACUGAAAUGUGUUGACCAGAAGGAUGAUGGUGUUGUCAUGAUACUGAGGUCUUUUAAUUAAUUACUUUGUGACUUUCAUAGCAUUUAGAAAACGGAGAACAGGGUAUUUUCUUGAACAGCCUAGCCAAAUGAAAAACUGGUU
ensembl:lncRNA novel transcript